rnacentral:rRNA from 1 species
GACGAACGCUGGCGGCGUGCUUAACACAUGCAAGUCGAGCGGUAAGGCUCCUUCGGGAGUACACGAGCGGCGAACGGGUGAGUAACACGUGAGCAAUCUGCCCUUCACUUUGGGAUAACUCCGGGAAACCGGUGCUAAUACCCGAAUGCGACCACUUCAGGCAUCUGACGGUGGUGGAAAGUUCCGGCGGUGAAGGAUGAGCUCGCGGCCUAUCAGCUUGUUGGUGAGGUAAUGGCUCACCAAGGCUUCGACGGGUAGCCGGCCCUGAGAGGGUGACCGGCCACACUGGGACUGAGACACGGCCCAGACUCCUACGGGAGGCAGCAGUGGGGAAUAUUGGACAAUGGGCGAAAGCCUGAUCCAGCAACGCCGCGUGAGGGAUGACGG